UACAGAGGUCUCAAGCGUUGUUCGGAUUCAUUGGGCGUAAAGGGUGUGUAGGUGGCGCCGUAAGUCGGGUGUGAAAGCCCCGGGCUCAACCUGGGAAUUGCAUUCGAGACUGCAUUGCUGGAGUACGGAAGAGGAAGGCGGAAUUCCCGGUGUAGCGGUGAAAUGCGUAGAUAUCGGGAGGAAUACCGAUGGCGAAGGCAGGUCUCUGGGCUGACACUGACGCUCAUGCACGAAAGCGUGGGGAGCAAACAGG
rnacentral:rRNA from 1 species